rnacentral:rRNA from 1 species
AACGAACGCUGGCGGCAUGCCUAACACAUACAAGUCGAACGAGACCUUCGGGUCUAGUGGCGCACGGGUGCGUAACGCGUGGGAACCUGCCCUUAGGUUCGGAAUAACUCCCCGAAAGGGGUGCUAAUACCGGAUAAUGUCUUCGGACCAAAGAUUUAUCGCCUCUGGAUGGGCCCGCGUUGGUUUAGCUAGUUGGUAGGGUAAAAGCCUACCAAGGCGACGAUGCAUAGCUGGUCUGGGAGGAUGAUCAGCCACACUGGGACUGAGGCACGGCCCAGACUCCUACGCGAGGCAGCAGUGGGGAAUAUUGGACGAUGGGCGAAAGCCUGGUCCAGCCAUGCCGCGUGAGUGAUCAAGGCCUUAGGGUUGUAAAGCUCUUUUACCCGGGAUGAUAAUGACAGUACCGGGAGAAUAAGCUCCGGCUAACUCCGUG